AAAGACUGUAGAGCUUCUCUGAAGCUGUGCCUCAAAGUUUCUACUGGGAAUUAGGAAAAACAGACAUUUUAUGAAAAAGCAGAAAAUAGCAAAUAUUGGUGAGGAUGUAGAAAAAUCAGAACCCUCAGACAUUGCUAGAGAAAAUGCAGAAUAGCACAACCACUGUAGUUUGCUGGUCCCCAGAAAGCUCAACAUGACCGAGCAAUUCCGCUCCGAGGUAAGGACCCCCAGAGACCUGAGUACAUGCGCUCACACAAAAACCUGUACACGAUCAGAGCAGCAUCACUCAUGAUAGCCAAAAAGGGGGAAACAGCCCAUAUGUCUAUCAGCUAAUGAAUGUGUAAACAGAAUGUGGUCUCUCCAAUAUAGCAGAAUAUUACUCAGCCAUAAAAGGGAACAAAGGACUGGUACAUGCUACCACAUGGGUGAUCUUUUAAAAAGUUCUGUUAAUGGAAGAAGGCAGUCACAAAAGACACAUGCUGUGUGAUGCCAUUUAUGUGAAAAAUCCAGAAUAGACAAAUCCAGAGAGACAAAGGAGAUUAAGGGUUGCCAGGGGCUGGGGGGGAUGAAAAUGCUCUGGAGUUAGGUAACGCUGAUGGUUGUGCAACCUUGUGAAUAUAUUGAAAGUCACUGAGUUGCGUACUUAAAAAUGGGGAAUUGGAUGUUGUGUGAAUUAUAUCUCAGUUGAGAGAGAGAAGGAAUGAGAUGAGGCAGAGGGAAGCCUGGAUGGGGGCAUGGCCAGUCCCAGCACCAAGCAGCCUGGCCACGGCCUUGGUCAGGAAGCAGUUCCAGCCUCUGGGUAAGUCAGCACAGCCGUGGUUUUGCAGAAGAGCACCAUGAUUUCUGGAAGUCCUCCUCUAGCCAGGGCCCAGGAGCACCUGAGACCAUGGCUGAGCCUUCUGACCUGGCCAGCGCACCCAGGCUCUAUGACCACCGUGGUCCUCCAGCUGCUCAAAUCCUGCCAGAGAAAUCGCUGUGUUCCUCCUGUCUUCUGACCUUCGUGGGCUCUCUCCCCAGCCCUCCCCUCCGACAUGUCUGUUCCAGGCUGCAUCAGGGCUAGGGCUGGGGUCCAGCGGCAGGGGCCUGGGAGCUGGCGUGCCCGCCCCCUCAGGAGUGUUCUCUGCCUCUCUUUUCUACAGCUUUUGCAAUCUCAGGAUGUGAAAGAAGACGCCGUCCUGUGCUGCUCGAUGGAGCUGCAGAGCACAGGCCGGCUGCUGGAGGAGCAGCUGCCCGAGAUGAUGACCGAGCUCCUGGCCAGUGCGCGCGACAAGAUGCUCUGCCCUUCAGAGUCGAUGCUGACCCGGUCACUGCUUCUGGAGGUCAUAGAGCUCCAUGCCAACAGCUGGAACCCUCUGACGCCCCCCAUCACGCAGUACUACAACAGAACCAUCCAGAAACUGACAGCCUGACGGCCAGGGGGCCUGGCGGGCGGCCCGCGGGCAGCUGGGGCCCUGGUACCCAGGGCCAGAUGGACAGGCGGGAGGACAGGGGUGGCCCUGGCGGGAGAAAGAAGUGGGGAGGAAAGCAGGCAGAGCCGGGGGCCAGGCUGGAGCCAGACCGGGAAGGAGGAGCGCCCCUCAUCCGAGCCCCCCCAGCCCCACGCAUGCGGCAGCUCACACCAAUAAGGGAAGCAUGUUUCUUUCUCAUGGUGGCCCCCCCCACCGCCCCCGUCGUCCCCUCCCCACUCCCGCUCCUCCCCGCCCCCUCCCAUCAACCGCGUCCCCGCAGGGCUUUGUGCGAGGAGUUUCAUCGGCGUGACUCCUCCGAGGCCCUGGCAGCUCGGCACGCCGGGGUACCGCUUGGGUCAGAAAGGACCUCAGAAGGCUGAAAAAGUGGGUCGGAGACGGGCUUGCAUUGUUCCUGCUGUCAGCCGCGGUCGCCAACUGGCAGCAGGCGACGUAGAGCAGAUGUCCGGGAGGACAAAAGCAGGCACGGUCCCCACCAGCCGCCCGUAAUUGACGGCCUUUGUCCGCCACGCUCGGCCUGGGGGCCUGGGGGACGGAGGCUUCUCCUCUAACCUGCACGCUGCACCCUCCCCACUCCCCGUUCCUCCUCCGUGUGGCCCCCCAGCCUCAGGCCCAGGGGCGGGGUGCAGGGAGGGGAGCUGGGGUGUGCGGCUCUGCUCGUGCUCUUGUGUUUUAUUGUUUUAUUUUCAAAAGUCAGCUGCUUUGAAGUCUCCUCUCUCCAUGAAAAGAGUCCGAGCUGUGAUCACACAGUCAGCACCACUGAGGACCCCCUGAUUAGUGGAAGAUCAAACCCGGCCCCCUCUGGAAGGAUUCUAGCCACAGAUAGCUUGCCAGUGGCCAAUUAGGGUAAUUGGAAACUUCUGCCCCGGAGGGGGGUCCCCCUGGAACCCUGUGCUCCGCAGCCCUUGGCUUCCAGGACCUCUGUUCUCUUCUUCCCGCUCUGCUCUGUCAAGGGGCUGAUGCUGUGGCAGGCGCCAGGAGUGUGUUAAAUCCCAUCCUGGCUGGGGCUAAGGGGGGGGGGGGCGGCUGUCGUGAAUGGGGCGCAGUCAAGACGGGCAAAUUCAAACCAAAACGCUAGGUGAUGUCGCCUGAGCCACACACAGGUCUCCUCCCGAGCUUAGUGGGGGGAAAGUGGCCGCUGGGGGCUGCCUGGCUCCCCGGGACUUGGAGCUUAGCUAAAUGGGCUGUGUCGAUGGCCCAGCCUCAUCGCGGGCAGAAUCCAGAAGCCGAGGCCCCCCACAGCCAAGGUCUGUACGCUCCAGGAGGGCUCUGGGCACUGCGGCCCCCGGGGCUGGGGGGGGCGGUGCAUUCACUGAGUCGUGAGUAGAACAGUGAAAUGAGCAGGCGGGGCCGACGCAUCUUUCCAGGCCUGGAAGGAGCGAGACUGGGGUUUCUUGGAAGGGCCAGGUCCUGGGGAGAGCCCCUUCUCUGUUGGAGGAGAAUGCAAGUCAGGCUCUAGGAAGCUGGCUUUGGGGUUGUCACAGGCAUCUGCCCGGCCCCAGCUCUGGGGUCUGGAGCCCGCACUUUGAUAAGCCCCCAUUAAACCACCUCAGAGCCCAGCAGCUUCUGGGUUCCCUGGGUCACUGGAGGGCCUUGGCUGCCUGGUCCACUCAGGCUGGCCAGGGGUUGAGGGCUGGAGGUUUUCCUCUGUGGACUCCGCUUCUGGGGGAGCAGGCAGGGUGGGGCGGGGGGAGCGGGUCCCCCGGUACUCCCUGGCUUUCCCCACCAGCUGCCACCCACCUUCCAGCCCCGGGAUAGGAGCCUAUGCUGGUCCCAAGGCAGAGCGUAUUGGGGACAUGUGUGGGGGACACAGGUUUACCUGGAAUGGGUCUGUAGCCUCGGCCCCUGGCCUUCGCCUCCUCCCCUCCUUGAGCUUCUCCUCACUGCCUUUCCUCUUCAGCAGGCACCUUCAGCCCAGCCUGGGGCCCAGGGACACCAGGGACCCCACGGGAGGCCCCGAGGGAAGAGCUGGACUGAGGUUGGAGGGCUCAGAGAGGGCACCGGGGACCUCGUGGUCUGGAGGAGUCAAGCAGCCUCCGCCGGGCACGGAGCCGCCCCCAGGCAGCCCUCAGAGAGCUGCGUCUGGGCUGAAAUGGGCCUAGCUCCCCUUGAGUGUGAGUGCGAGUGCGAGGCGUGCGUGCAUGUGUGUGUGUGUGCGCGUGUGUGUGUGUGUGCGCGCGCGCGUGUGAGCACGUCUGCUGAGAACAAAGCAGGGCCCCAGAGGAAGGGAAUGACCCAGGGGAACAGGGCCUCCUGCCCGGUCCAUGAAGCCGAGAGCGAGCACGCAGGGGCUGAUGUUCCCUGCAAAGCCGAGGCCGGUGGUAUGGUGGGCGCCAUGGGCCUCAUGCCCCUUCCUCCUAAUGCCCCUUCCUCCUAACGGCCUCCUUGGUGGUUUUGCCUCAGGGCCACCCCUCCUCGACUGUUAGGACCAGAGUAUGAAGAAGUAAGAUAUAAAUAUGUAUACAUAUAUAAAUAUAUUUUUAAUUACGUGUCGUGUCACGGUGGCUCCAGACAUAUGGUUUGCCUAGUUUAUCCCAUUGCUUGAAAGUGCUUCCUGGCCAAUCCAAAUAACAAUGUAAGCUGUUUUUCUAAAUGCAGGUUGCUGCUACUCUUUGAGACAUGGAAGGAAAACAUUUAAAAAAAAAAUUUUUUUUAAGGAAGUAACAGUAAAAAACAGUAAAGCAUUAAAAUCUGUGACUCUGAGGCCGCCUCCCAAGGGAGACAGGAACCAGGGAGCAGAAGUGGGCGCCCCUCAGACCCCUAGUCCCUCCCCAGGCCAGACCCCCCUUCUGCUGAGUGAGAAAGGCCAUAUCCAAGUUGACCUCUGAAUGUAUUUGAUGGGAGGCAAAACUGGAUAUUGCAUUUCUAAGGCUUGCGUUGUUUUCCCUACUCACCCCGCGGCUUUCUUGGCGCAGUGAAGAGGCGAAGUCCGGCCAUCUGAUGUUGAUCCUGUCUCGGUCUGUGCCCCCUCCCAGUCAAGACCAGAUAGUCCUUGCUUUCCUCUCAGGCGGCCAGCCCGCUCACCACAGCCCUGCUCCCCUUGGCCUCGUGGGUUUGCCUGAGCGCUGGGACCGCAGCCCCAAGAAGGCUCCUAACCUCCCCCGGAGAAGGUGGGAACCCCACCAUCCUCCGUGGGGAACAUGCACCCCAAGCCCAGUUUCGUCUGUUCGUCCUUCCUCGAUCAGUCUGUAAACCUUCGAGGUUUAGGGAUCGCCCUGUCCAUCCAUGUAAAUGUAAAUGUUGGCCGAGUCGGUAUUUAUUCUAAUUUUUAUUUUAUUUUAUUUUCUCUGAGGGAUGGGGGGGUUGUGUGGGAAAUGUACCACUGAUCACGCCCUGGGCAGCUGCAGGGGCGGGGACCCCGCCAGCCAGGCCACCGCGAGGAGCAGCCCCAUGGGGCCGCCCCAGACGCCACGUUCCAGUCUCUGGCAUCAGAACCCGGCCAGUGUUCCUCGUGUGACAGACUCUCAGGACCUGCCCGCGGAGUCCUGUGCCUCAGCUGCUGGCGCCUUGUGGGGCCCUCUGCCCGGGCCUCUGAGGAUGCAGAUCGCAGAGGAGACCGCUCCUCUGGUCGGGACGCUGGCGACAAGGACUGCCCACCUCGCCUGAGCCAGCUGGGAGCCUGGCGACGGGACCUGCCUCCCUGGAGAAGGGGCCUGGGCCUUCCCGCCACAGCCGCAGCAGAAUCCUCCUCACGCGACCACGUUCCCUCCCUCAGUAUGUCCUGCUUUCCAGCUGAACCCAGACUACAAGUGGGUUUAAAAAAUAAACACCAAAAACCAAAAAC